GACGAACGUUGGCGGCGUGCUUAAUACAUGCAAGUCGACUGAAGCAGUGGUAGCAAUAUCGCUGUGGAGGUGGCGCACGGGUGAGUAACACGUAGGUAAUCUGCCUUCAGGUCUGGCAUAACUCCGGGAAACCGGGGCUAAUAGCAGAUGAUGCAGCGGCUCGACAUCGAGACAGUUGUUAAAGCUAUGGCGCCUGAAGAUGAGCCUGCGUCUGAUUAGCUAGUUGGCGGGGUAACGGCCCACCAAGGCAACGAUCAGUAGCUGGUCUGAGAGGAUGAUCAGCCACACUGGAACUGAGACACGGUCCAGACUCCUACGGGAGGCAGCAGUAAGGAAUAUUGCUCAAUGGGAGAAAUCCUGAAGCAGCAACGCCGCGUGAGGGACGAAGGGCUUUUGCUUGUAAACCUCUGUAGUGAGAGAAAAAAAUCCCAAUCUUUGGGACAUGAUGGUAUCUCAAAAGUAAGCCCCGGCUAACUACGUG
rnacentral:rRNA from 1 species